CAGCAACCAAAGCAGGUCUAGAAGUCUGGUCUGUGGAAUGACAAGCACCCACUGGAGCCAUUGACCUGCAGAUGACAGUCUCCAUGAAUGAGGGCUCAAAGGAAAGUAGAAGGGCAGGGCAGCUGUGGCUCUGUGCCCUUCCACAAAAGCUACGAGGAUACAGGAUGAGACGAGGAUGGAGGGAAAGCCCAUGGGCAAGAAAGCCCACCCAGCAGCAGUGCCGCAGCACAUCAGUACUCUCCGCUCUCCUCAGCUGGGCCCACAGAGACUGCCGGCCAUCAGAGUGGAGCUCCCACAGUGACUGAGGCGACCCACAGCCUUGGUGGCUACAGGCUCUUCUUACGACUCUAGAGACUCUUACGGGUUUCAUCUUCAACUUGAAAACGCUG
rnacentral:lncRNA from 1 species